rnacentral:lncRNA from 1 species
GCUGGGGUAGCUGGACUUCGGCACACCCUGGGCAGAGAAAAAUGCGGAAGGGCUCCAGCACUGCCUGGAUGAAAAGGAAUUUUCAACGAUGCUUGCUGUUUUUCUGCACCUGGCACCUCAGACAGGCUUCAAAGAUGGAAGCAGCAUCAGGUAAAUUAUACCUAACAAGGUUCAUGCCCAGCUCUGUGAGAAGAGCCGCAUCCUCGCUCUCUGGAAAACCAUCCCUCCUGCGGUGGUGAACUUGAGUCUCACACACAAUGCAAGAGAGCUCCAGCGCACAGUUCUAUGGCGUUAUUUCCACGCUGAUAAAUUCAUGAUUUAUGAAAGUAACUCCUGCCAGCUCUCACUCCCUCCUUCCCUGCUACAGCUUGUUAGACACAAAUUGCAACAACAGUCUUAAAUACUUGCAGUUUAUUUCAGGCCAAAGCCCCUCAACUCUCAACUAAAUGCCACUGACAAUCCCGCUAUGCAGGCCAGGAGUCCCUUGGCUGGGGUGGACCCACAGCUGGGUGGAUGGCCAGGAGAGAAACACACACAAACCUAAGAGCAGCGCGGCAGCACCAAGGUGAGCCCGGCACCCAGCCCACCCUAGCCCUCCAGGCAGCCGACCCUGCUGUCUGCAGAUUUCAGUAGCCAAGAGGCAGGAGCCGCCUCACCGUCUGAAGGAGAGCUUAAUGGCUCCUAUCUCCAUCUCCAGAGCCCUCACUUCCAGGCUGAAACAAAGCCUGUGUGCCCCACUGACUGAACUUGCGGCUUCCCAGGAAAGCAGCAGUAGGCUCUGGCAGCCAGAGCC